UUUGAAAAGGGGAGACAUAGUUACCAAAAAUCCAUUUGAAACUUCUUUGAUGUUGAAAAGUCAAGUUGAAUGUGAUCCAAAAACUUGCCAAAUUUGGAAACUUUGAAUUACAGGUCACUUUCCAUUUUUGGUAACUUUUGCCAUGACUUUUGAAUCUUCAAGAUGGCUGAUUAACAUGAUGAAUAGGCCUUGUUUGAACAUUAUUGAGGUGUCUCACUUCAUUUCCCCACCUCAAAGCCCUCAGUUGACUGUACAGUUGACUAUUUGAUCCUCAGAUGACCAUGAAAU
rnacentral:lncRNA from 1 species